AGGAUGAACGCUGGCGGCGUGCUUAACACAUGCAAGUCGAACGGUGAAGUGAGGAGCUUGCUCCUUGCGGAUCAGUGGCGAACGGGUGAGUAACACGUGAGUAACCUGCCCUUAACUCUGGGAUAAGCCUUGGAAACGGGGUCUAAUACCGGACAUUUACGAUUGAUCGCAUGGUUGGUUGUGGAAAGAUUUAUUGGUUUUGGAUGGACUCGCGGCCUAUCAGCUUGUUGGUGAGGUAAUGGCUUACCAAGGCGACGACGGGUA
rnacentral:rRNA from 1 species